rnacentral:rRNA from 1 species
AGAACGAACGCUGGCGGCAGGCUUAACACAUGCAAGUCGAGCGCCCCGCAAGGGGAGCGGCAGACGGGUGAGUAACGCGUGGGAACAUACCCUCCGGUUCGGAAUAGCUCAGGGAAACUUGGAUUAAUACCGGAUACGGCCUAGCGGCGAAAGAUUCAUCGCCGGAGGAUUGGCCCGCGUCUGAUUAGCUAGUUGGUGGGGUAAUGGCCCACCAAGGCGACGAUCAGUAGCUGGUCUGAGAGGAUGAUCAGCCACAUUGGGACUGAGACACGGCCCAAACUCCUACGGGAGGCAGCAGUGGGGAAUAUUGGACAAUGGGCGCAAGCCUGAUCCAGCCAUGCUGCGUGAGUGAUGACGGCCUUAGGGUUGUAAAGCUCUUUCGCUAGGGACGAUAAUGACGGUACCUAGACAAGAGCCCGGCUAACUUCGUGCCAGCAGCCGC